UUUUUUUUCAUGCUUCGGGGCCGAAAAUGAGGGCAAUUUUUCGAAUUUUCUCGGUUUUCGGCCUUUUGCAUGGAAAGUCACAUGUGUACCUGCUUUGGACGAUUUAUUUUAGACAC